AUAAGCAGGGCUAAGCAUUUUUUGUAAAUUAUAUUUUGAUACUUCACCAGAAGUAUCUAAAAAAGGAAAGGAUUUCAAGGUAGCCAAUGCAUUAAAGGGUUUCCAAGCAACUCCUAUAAACCUAAUGCACAUUCACUAGACUUAAAGUGUGUAAAAAUAAUUUAAAAACACAAAAAAGGGGUUGCAUGCACCGGGGCUUGCCUGAGUAACACUAGGUUAGUGUUUGUUAGCCGACCACAUGACGAGCAUCCAUUGGCUUGGCACUCGUUCAGAUCCAUCUUCCGGUUCGUUCAUCAGCAUCAUCCUGCGGAUUAGCCCGCGCUUGGUAUCGACUUGACUCUUUUCCUUCGUCUUACUUGAUUAAUUAUCGUACAUCAUAAGAUGCACAAUGCACAUGUAUGAGCAUAAAGUAACCGGAUGAUACAAAAAAGAGAAUCAAAUAUUUAGCGGCAAGACAUCGACACAAUCCUACGAAAGCACUAGACAUCUAUAACUCACUAAACACAACAAUCACGAUUUUUCUAGUUUUACCAGAUUUAACUAGCGGGAAUAAUAGAUCAGCUUACCCUGAUCGAAUCGACCCGAUAACCGCGAGGGCGACGACGGCUUGGCGAGGAGGUGAGCGAGACGUCGCAGCACGCGGAGUGAACUCAGGACGAUAUCGAGAGCGCCGAUGCUGCCGUAGCGAGAUCGAGACAAGGACGAGGAUGACAAUCAGGUGUAGCGAGACAACAGAGAAUAGAUGGCAUAGUAGACGUCUCCACGGCGGCAUCAUAGUACCACUGUGAGGUCUAGUAGUAGCUGACAACGCUGGCGAGUUCCACAAGCCGGAGCGUGCACGACAUCAAAACGGACGAGCACGUGACCUGGUGACCCAGCACAGGCACACACGAAACCGAGCUCCAUGGCCAAGCGCUUGAGUCGGUGAGCGUGCAGCCGUGGAAAAGAAACGACGACUGGAGGCGCUGCCUGGCGAAGGAAAGAACGCGCCCCACUUUGGCUAGAACCAGCGGCACGAUGGCUUGAAGACUGAGCGAGGCGAGCAACGUGUUGGAGUUGCUGGGGAGCUCGCGCGUCUGGGAAAAUCUAACGUCGACGAGCAGGAGCGAGCGUUCCUGGUGCUGGAGCAGCCCGGCCAGCAGUAUGAAGCGCGCAGUGGUGCAGUGGUGAGAUGGGUGGCGUGGGUGAUUCCCAGGGUGUUCAACGCAUCUUGUGAAGGAAGUUUCCAGGAGCUGAAUACGUGGGAAAUAAAUGACGUGAAUGAGAUGCAGAGGUGGCGUGAGGAAGAGCUUCAGUACGUGGCCGGUUGCACAGAACCGAGGGAGAGAUACGUGAGGAAAUUCUCCUUCCAGCUAUCUCUAUCCGUAUGAGAGAAAAAGAAUACGGUAGCUCUUGGGAUAAGAAGAAGAGUAGGCGGUGGGGAUAUUCCAUGGAGAUAGACAUGCUCUAGAAAACAAAAGGGAUGAGGAUGGCUGAGACAUAGGCGAGCAUGUUGAACCCUGGCCCCCAAAACUGACACAAGUUUCAG
rnacentral:lncRNA from 1 species